AGAGACCUGAAGCUUUUACCAUGUUUGAUUCAUUCUUGAAUGAUAAGCCACUCCCUAAAAGUCUUUAGAAAGAGAAGAAACAAGAAUAGAUGGAAAUGAUUGAUUUGUGAGGUGGGAUUUUAUGUUGCCUUGUAAUAAAUCUCAUUUAACAAUAGAUUU
rnacentral:ribozyme from 1 species